rnacentral:piRNA from 1 species
UGCAUAUAUGAUGGUGGUCAUCCAGU